GGGCAAGUCUGAAGCAGCACCGAGUAAGAAUCACAGCUAUGACAAAUAGUGCAUCAUAAAUGUUCUUCUAAUGAAGGGCUGGUGGGAACAGCUGAUGCAUCUGCCAAAUGACUUAGACGAGAUGGGCGUAGUACUGUCCAGAGUGAAUAAUAGUUGCAGAGCGGCCUCCGGAGAGCCUGUCAACACAUUCCAAACAGUGAGCAGCAUCUCUGACAGGGAGUUCAAUAGCACUGACAGCGACCAUUCCUCCAUCAUACCUAUCCCGAACAAAGUGGUGUGUGAGCCAGAGGAGGUGCUAGUUCCCGCUCUUCCAGAAACAGCUUGUGUAGAACGAGGCUACAUCACUCCACAGCAAGUGUACAACCUGCUGAGUGCUGAGGAAGGCCAGCCCGCCUUGUAUGAUCCAUACUAUAUCCUCAUCCUGGACUGUCGCAGUGCAGAGAGGUACAAGGACAGCCAUGUAGUGACGGC
ensembl:lncRNA